CCCGCAUGUCUCCUCCUCACGGUCGUAAGUGCAGAAGGUAAUUAGCCCAGGAUCUCAAUAAACUGGCAGCUAGCCGACCGAGUCAUUAAAAACAGCCACGAAGAAAAUCCACACCAGCCGUAACGCUCCAGAGACCAUUGAGAAACACAAAGUAGAUUUUGAAAAAGGGUUUACAGUUCUUCUUUGAAGUCUGGAAGUAGUUGU
rnacentral:lncRNA from 1 species